rnacentral:rRNA from 1 species
UGAGGCGCGAAAGCGUGGGGAGCGAACAGGAUUAGAUACCCUGGUAGUCCACGCCCUAAACUAUGUCAACUGGUUGUUGGGGAAGGUAACUUCCUUAGUAACGAAGCUAACGCGUGAAGUCGACCGCCUGGGGAGUACGGCCGCAAGGUUAAAACUCAAAGGAAUUGACGGGGACCCGCACAAGCGGUGGAUGAUGUGGAUUAAUUCGAUGCAACGCGAAGAACCUUACCUACCCUUGACAUGUAGCGAACCCUGCUGAGAGGUGGGGGUGCCCGAAAGGGAGCGCUAACACAGGUGCUGCAUGGCUGUCGUCAGCUCGUGUCGUGAGAUGUUGGGUUAAGUCCCGCAACGAGCGCAACCCUUGUCACUAGUUGCUACGAAAGGGCACUCUAGUGAGACUGCCGGUGACAAACCGGAGGAAGGUGGGGAUGACGUCAAGUCCUCAUGGCCCUUAUGGGUAGGGCUUCACACGUAAUACAAUGGCG